GGAUAAUUUGGAGUUGGGUGGGGGGAUCGCGCGAUUAGUAUGUGGUAAAUUCAAUAUAUUUGGCGGUUAAUUUGGUACCAGAGGAACUUGCUGUUUAUGGAAAUGGCCCCUUAUAUUUCAAUUAUUAGAGUUUAUUUAUCUCCGUUAUUAGAAAUAGUUUUUAUUGUAGUUUUAACUAUGAUUUCAGGUCAAGAUGUAGCUUUGAUGGUGGGCAGUUAGUUACAGUUUUGUAAAAUGAUGGCAUACGUAGGUUGGGUGUGUAUAAAAAUGAAUUUGUUUGUAAUUAUUCUUAUUAUGGGGGGAUGAAAUAUUCAAAUUAGUGUCCAUAUUGCCCGUCACUCCCUUGAAAAAGGAGGAUAAGUCGUAACAUAU
rnacentral:rRNA from 1 species